AGCGGCAACAGCUCAAAUUUGAAAUCUGGCCCCUAGGGCCCGAGUUGUAAUUUGUAGAGGAUGCUUUUGGUGAGGUGCCGCCCGAGUUCCCUGGAACGGGACGCCACAGAGGGUGAGAGCCCCGUCUGGCUGGCCGCCGAGCCUCUGUAAAGCUCCUUCGACGAGUCGAGUAGUUUGGGAAUGCUGCUCAAAAUGGGAGGUAUAUGUCUUCUAAAGCUAAAUAUUGGCCAGAGACCGAUAGCGCACAAGUAGAGUGAUCGAAAGAUGAAAAGCACCUUGAAAAGAGGGUUAAAUAGUACGUGAAAUUGUUGAAAGGGAAGCGCUUGUGACCAGACUUGGGCGCGGCGGAUCAUCCGGGGUUCUCUCCGGUGCACUUCGCCGCGUCUAGGCCAGCAUCAGUUCGUCGCGGGGGAAAAAGGCUUCGGGAACGUGGCUCCUCCGGGAGUGUUAUAGCCCGUUGCAUAAUACCCUGCGGUGGACUGAGGACCGCGCAUCUGCAAGGAUGCUGGCGUAAUGGUCACCAGCGACCCGUCU
rnacentral:rRNA from 1 species